UAUCUUAGAAAGUGGCAUUACGGGUAACCC
rnacentral:piRNA from 1 species